GCGGUGACAAUAUCCAGGAAGAUCACUCUUCUCCCCUCUCGAUUGCACUCACUGCCUUCUGUGAAUGGAAGCAGGCACUCGACCGACUGCCUGAUAAGGUUGCCUCCGAGGCGAUCAAAAGUUUCAUGAGUGUCAUCCAUGUCAUCUGCACAAAACAGGCGGAGGAGCUAAAGAUUAAGAAGCGGGCUGAGACAUACUCCAAAGAGUUGGAGAAGAAGUCGACGUCGCUGAGAAGUAUCGAAAAGAAGUACUACCAAUCCUACUCGACGGUCGGUAUCGGCCUUCCCGGCGGUGGGAUUGAGAACAAAGGGCAUGUGUUGUUCGACGCGCGUGACCCGCUGGCAGAGAAGAAGCUGGAGAUCG
rnacentral:lncRNA from 1 species